rnacentral:rRNA from 1 species
GUGCCCAGUAGUGGGGGAUAGCCCGGCGAAAGCCGGAUUAAUACCGCAUACGACCUGAGGGUGAAAGCGGGGGACCGAAAGGCCUCGCGCUAUUGGAGCGGCCGAUGUCGGAUUAGCUAGUUGGUGGGGUAAAGGCCUACCAAGGCGACGAUCCGUAGCUGGUCUGAGAGGACGACCAGCCACCCUGGGACUGAGACACGGCCCAGACUCCUACGGGAGGCAGCAGUGGGGAAUUUUGGACAAUGGGGGCAACCCUGAUCCAGCCAUGCCGCGUGCGGGAAGAAGGCCUUCGGGUUGUAAACCGCUUUUGUCAGGGAAGAAAUCUUCUGGGCUAAUACCCCGGGGGGAUGACGGUACCUGAAGAAUAAGCACCGGCUAACUACGUGCCAGCAGC